GGGGGCGCUGUGCCUCGCCCGGAGCCUCACCCAGAGCCUUCUGGGGUGGUGGAUAGGCAGUCUAUAUGGGACCAUCCACAUGACAAACACUAUCAGAACCUGGUGAUCUGAGAGUGGGCAAAGCUGUCAACUCUGGGGUCAUUAAGAAGAAGAAGAAAAAGGAAAAGAAAGACAAGGAGGACAAAAAAGACCCCCAAAAGUCCCCUGGCCCUGGGUUCCUCGUUAGCCCCAGUUCAUGUUCCUCUUGGCGCCUGGCUCCUUUAAGAGGUCUUGUUAGAAAUACCAAAAUUGUUAGAAAUUGAUCAUCAGUGCUGUGAAGAAAAGUCAGCACAGAGACAAAAGAUCUCUCAGCAAGGCAAUCUUUACUUUCUGCAGAAAGGUUGCUCAAUCGCAGAUGGACCAAUGGUGAAAGCACACCUGAACAAAGGAAAAGCAGACAUAUUUAUCCCUUACACAUUUGGGUUGUCCUUACUGCUGUGUCCUGCAUCCAUUGGCUGGAGCGGAACCUCACACUCUUAAACUGAUACCCAAUUUGCUAAUAGCCUAAAACUUCCUAAAUAGCUGCUAAGAAGACCGCAGCAGCCUUCAUAAGUUGUAUCUUCCCCUUUACUGAAGAAUCACCAGUCACCUACAGUUGCACAGCAAGCAUGGGAAAAUAACUGAAAUUUUGAUGUGCCAUUUCUCACUUCUUUAAGAACCCUCCUUCAAAUUCCUGAAUAAAGCUGCUAACUAAGACAAAUGAAUUUUAAAAGUUUGAGACUUAAAUACCUCUCUACUAAAAGGGAAAUGGAUAAAAAGGUA
rnacentral:lncRNA from 10 species